rnacentral:rRNA from 1 species
AGAGUUUGAUCCUGGCUCAGUACGAACGCUGGCGGCACGCCUCAUACAUGCAAGUCGAGCGCGAAACCACCUUCGGGUGAUGUAGAGCGGCGAACGGGUGAGUAACAGGUGGAUAAUCUGCCCUUUGGCGGGGGACAACAGCUGGAAACGGCUGCUAAUACCGCAUGUGAUUGUGGGUUUAUGGCCUGCAAGGAAAGGCGCCUCAAAGCGCCACCAAAGGAUGAGUCCGCCCCCCAUUAGCUAGUUGGUGAGAUAAUAGCUCACCAAGGCUUCGAUGGGUAGCCGAGCUGAGAGGUUGAUCGGCCACACUGGAACUGAGACACGGUCCAGACACCUACGGGUGGCAGCAGUAGGGAAUAUUGCGCAAUGGGCGAAAGCCUGACGCAGCGAUGCCGCGUGAGUGACGAAGGUCUUAGGAUUGUAAAGCUCUUUUCUGAGGGAAGAAUAGGUCUGGUAGGAAAUGAUCGGAUUCUGACGGUACCUCAGGAAUAAGGAACGGCUAACUCCGUGCCAGCAGCCGCGGUAAUACGGAGGUUCCAAGCGUUGUUCGGAAUUACUGGGCGUAAAGGGAGCGCAGGCGGGCAGGUCAGUUUAAAGUGGAAUCCCAGGGCUCAACCCUGGACGUGCCUUGGAUACUGCCUGUCUUGAGUUCGUGAGAGGAAAGUGGAAUUCAGGGUGUAGCGGUGAAAUGCUUAGAUAUCCUGAGGAACACCAGUGGCGAAAGCGACUUUCUGGCACGAAACUGACGCUGAGGCUCGAAAGCAUGGGUAGCGAACGGGAUUAGAUACCCCGGUAGUCCAUGCCGUAAACGUUGUAUACUAGGUGCGGGAGGUAUCGACCCCUUCCGUGCCGAAGCUAACGCAUUAAGUAUACCGCCUGGGGAGUACGCGCGCAAGCGUGAAACUCAAAGGAAUUGACGGGGGCCCGCACAAGCGGUGGAGCAUGUGGUUUAAUUCGAGGCAACGCGAAGAACCUUACCCAGGCUUGACAUCCCAAGACCGCUCAUGAAAGUGAGUUUUCCCUUCGGGGACUUGGAGACAGGUGUUGCAUGGCUGUCGUCAGCUCGUGUCGUGAGAUGUUGGGUUAAGUCCCGCAACGAGCGCAACCCCUGUCCUUAGUUACCAGCACGUAAUGGUGGGCACUCUAAGGAGACUGACGGUGAUAAACCGGACGAAGGUGGGGACGACGUCAAGUCAUCAUGGCCCUUACGCCUGGGGCU